CCUACGGGAGGCAGCAGUGGGGAAUAUUGCACAAUGGGGGAAACCCUGAUGCAGCAACGCCGCGUGAGUGAAGAAGUAUUUCGGUAUGUAAAGCUCUAUCCGCAGGGAAGAAGAUGACGGUACCUGUGUAAGAAGCCCCGGCUAACUACGUGCCAGCAGCCGCGGUAAUACGUAGGGGGCAAGCGUUAUCCGGAUUUACUGGGUGUAAAGGGAGCGUAGACGGUGAGACAAGUCUGAAGUUAAAGCCCUGGGCUCAACCCCGGGACUGCCUUGGAAACUGCCUGACUGGAGUUCUGGAGAGGCAAGCGGAAUUCCUAGUGUAGCGGUGAAAUGCGUAGAUAUUAGGAAGAACACCAGUGGCGAAGGCGGCUUGCUGGACAGUAACUGACGUUGAGGCUCGAAAGCGUGGGGAGCAAACAGGAUUAGAUACCCCAGUAGUC
rnacentral:rRNA from 1 species